AAGAAUAUACUUUCAGGGACGAUUUCUGUAGUUGUUACUAGUGGAAUUUCUUUGAACAUUCAGAGCAUAGAAACCAGAAGCAGGAGGCACAGUGCCCUCUCCUGAGCGUGAAGGUGGCUUUGGUGUUGCUGGGCUGCCCCUGACAUUUACCACUGAGGAUCCUCUUCUCUUCCCUGGGAAGAGUAAGAGAGACAGGAUGCAGUCUGAAUGGU